rnacentral:lncRNA from 1 species
AUGUUCGGUCUGGGCCCGCGGAGAUCUCGAGGGCAGAAGCCGCGCAGCGCGGAGCUGAGGUGUGGGGGUCUGGAGGAGACCACGAAGCACCAACACUGGGGUGCUCCGGCCCUGAGCCACCCGCAGCCCCAGGGCACUGGGGCACGCCGCAGAGCCCGCAACACCUCUCCCGAUGCCUUUGACAUCUCCAGGAUGGCCGAGCCGGCGGGACGUGGCUCCUGGAGGCAGCGUCGGGGUGACGGGAGCAGCUCCAGCUCUGUGUGCACCGAGGACUUGGCUGCUGCUUUUUGGGACGGCAUGGUAGAGCCCGCGGUGUUCUCUGAGGCCCUCUGUUUUGAGGCCUUCUAUUUCCCUACUGAGGACGAUGGUGAUGGGCAGGAUGCGUCCCUCUCCGUGGGACCAGGCUGGCCCUGGUGGGACACGACCCCGUGGGUGACAAGGAGGGAGAGCUUGGAGUCCCUGGGAGUGAGGAUUUCCAGGCUGAGCCAGAUCAGUGCUGGAAAACCCCGGGGGGAACCCUGCCUGGCUCCCUCUGAGGAGGACACAAGACAUCCCUGGAGAUCCCCAGGCAGCUCAGCCAGCAGGAGCGGGGCUGGGAGCAGGGGACACCCCAGGAGGAAGCCCAUGGAGACCAGACAUCAGCAGCCAGCAGCUGCCUGGGGGUGGCAAGGAGGGGACACCGCCCUCGCAGUGGAGAAGAAAGGAGGUGGCAGCAAGCAGAGGGGAGCUCACCGCUCAUCUCACCGUACCGAGGCAUCAGCGGGACCCUCCGGCAGAUGCAGCCCCCACUCCAAGGUGCUGAGCUUCGUGUCCUGCCCUGUCCAGCCCCAGGGGCAGCGCGGGAGGCUGGCAGCUGUCCUGUCCCACAAGCUGGUGUCACUGCGCCGGGCCCUGCGGAGGAGCCAGGAGGGGACUCAAGAGCUGGGAGCUGGUGCUCGGGGGACCUGGAGAGAAAGGGAGAGAGGCAGCAGGGGCUCUCAGAGAGGCCGUGAUGGGGGCACGGGGCAGGCACAAAGGGCAUCAUCGGCUCUGCGAGACGAGAAACUGGAGCUGCAGGAGAGGCUCUGCGAGCUGCAGCAUCGAACCCGCUCCCUCCUGCGGCAGCAGCUGGAGACCCUGGAGCAGCUCCGGGUGCUGCUGAGGGAGGAGGAGGCGACCACAUCUCAUCAGCUCCAGGAGGCUGUGGAGAAGAGAUGGAGCCGGCGUCCUCGCCUCCGCUCUGCCACCUCCCCGUCCCCGAGCACUUCGCCCGGUCUCCGGCAGCACAGCCCUGGGUCCCCGAGGCUCCUGCACCACGUCCAGCGCUGCCUGCAGGAGCUGCAGGUGGAUAAGACACACCGCACGGGCAGCCUGGAGCACCCCGAAGUCCUGGGAGGAGAGCUGGGCACCGCAGCAAGCGAGGAGGAAUGGGGACAGCCUGGGACAAGGGACUCGCCCCCCGUCACAGCCUCACCCAAGCAAAAGAGGUUCCUGGUAGCAGACACCCCACGCCCCAGCAGGAGGAAACACGACUGCAGGAGGAGUCGUCUGCUGUGACAGGGACCUGGACUGGGGCACGGAGGUGCUGAGACAUCCCUGGCUGCUCCAUCUCCCUGUGCGUGCCCAGAAGGACCAGCCGUGAAGCUGCUGGACCCUCCCUUUGCAGGACUUUCCCCAUAAACNNNNNNNNNNUUUUUUUUUUUUUUUUUUUUUUUUUCUGAAUGGCUUUUAAUUAAAACCCAAAGGCUUGCAAGGCCCCGUGGAUGCCUUUGCAAGCAGCAGCCUGAGCUUCCCGGUCAAAGCACACGAGCGUCAC